rnacentral:rRNA from 1 species
GAUCAUGGCUCAGGAUGAACGCUAGCGACAGGCUUAACACAUGCAAGUCGAGGGGCAGCACGAUGUAGCAAUACAUUGGUGGCGACCGGCGCACGGGUGAGUAACGCGUAUGCAACCUACCUAUCAGAGGGGAAUAACCCGGCGAAAGUCGGACCCUAAUACCGCAUAAAACAGGGGUUCCACAUGGAAAUAUUUGUUAAAGAAUUAUCGCUGAUAGAUGGGCAUGCGUUCCAUUAGA